CAUGUGCUUCCUCUGUUCCAAAUUUUUUGUCUUAGGUAUUUCUAAAAAUAGAUGUAUCUAAAUACUAAAACAUGACUAGAUACAUUCAUAUCUAUACAAACUUAAAACAAGAAUUUUGAGACGGAGAAAGUAUGAC
rfam:Hordeum vulgare subsp. vulgare, WGS project CAJW01000000 data, contig: morex_contig_64072